AAGAAAUCUGUCACUUGAAUAUUUUCUGACUGUGUGUCAGACUUGACAGACUGAAGGAGGAAGACUUCACUUCUGCAUCCUAGCAUCUGUCCCUGUUGUCACAGGAGGGGACGAGUUUGAAACGGGAAAAAGUCACCGUGAUUCACCUAAGGUCUCUCAGGAAGGCAGUUUAAGAAUUUGAAUCCAAUGCUGCUUAUUCACAUGAGGUCUUUUCAACCCAAGUUCAAGACUGAGCCUCUCUGCGCAGCCGAUGUACAGAGAGUUUUAGAGAGGCUCCUUUAAGGAAGAAUUUUUAAAGCCAGCUUUAAUGUUCUCCCCAUCCUGCAUCCCCUGAGAGCCCAGCAAAAUCAGCUCCUGCAGUACCGAAGAACAGAUCAAAACCAGCCCCGAGCCCACCUUCUUUAUUUGUCGUGUUUAUUUAUUUGUUGUGCUUUGCAUUUAGAAGUGGAUCCUGAGAAUUCCUCCCGAUUCUAGGGCACUCCUGGAUCUGGAUACCAACGUAAAAUGUAAGUAAAUGGAGAAAAGGAAGAAGAUGGUAAACCGUCACCCAGGACU